UACGUAGGGUGCAGGCGUUAAUCGGAAUUACUGGGCGUAAAGCGUGCGCAGGCGGUUCUGCAAGUCAGAUGUGAAAUCCCCGGGCUUAACCUGGGAACUGCGUUUGAAACUACGGAGCUAGAGUGCGGCAGAGGGGGGUGGAAUUCCACGUGUAGCAGUGAAAUGCGUAGAUAUGUGGAGGAACACCGAUGGCGAAGGCAGCCCCCUGGGCCGACACUGACGCUCAGGCACGAAAGCGUGGGGAGCAAACAGG
rnacentral:rRNA from 1 species